rnacentral:tRNA from 1 species
CAGAAUAUAGUUUAUAAAAAUAUUAAUUUUGGAGAUUAAAGUUAAAAGUUAAUUUUUAUUCUGA